rnacentral:rRNA from 1 species
AUUGAACGCUGGCGGCAGGCUUAACACAUGCAAGUCGAGCGGAGAUGAGGUGCUUGCACCUUAUCUUAGCGGCGGACGGGUGAGUAAUGCUUAGGAAUCUGCCUAUUAGUGGGGGACAACAUUCCGAAAGGAAUGCUAAUACCGCAUACGCCCUACGGGGGAAAGCAGGGGAUCUUCGGACCUUGCGCUAAUAGAUGAGCCUAAGUCGGAUUAGCUAGGUGGUGGGGUAAAGGCCUACCAAGGCGACGAUCUGUAGCGGGUCUGAGAGGAUGAUCCGCCACGCUGGGACUGAGACACGGCCCAGACGCCUGCGGGAGGUAGCAGUGGGGAAUAUUGGACAAUGGGCGGAAGCCUGAUCCAGCCAUGCCGCGUGUGUGAAGAAGGCCUUUUGGUUGUAAAGCACUUUAAGCGAGGAGGAGGCUACCUGGAUUAAUACUCUAGGAUAGUGGACGUUACUCGCAGAAUAAGCACCGGCUAACUCUGUGCCAGCCGCCGCCGUAACAC